rnacentral:rRNA from 1 species
AUUGAACGCUGGCGGCAAGCCUAACACAUGCAAGUCGAGCGAGCGGCGGACGGGUGAGGAAUGUAUGGGGACUGCCCGAUAGAGGGGGAUAACUACUGGAAACGGUAGCUAAUACCGCAUACUAUCGGAUAACCCAUAUGGGAUUAGCUAGUAGGUGAGGUAAUGGCUCACCUAGCCGACGAUCCCUAGCUGGUCUGAGAGGAUGAUCAGCCACACUGGGACUGAGACACGGGCAAUACUCCUACGGAGGCAGCAGUAGGGAAUUUUUGACAAUGGGGGAAACCCUGAACCAGCCAUCCCGCGUGUAUGAUGAAGGCCUUCGGGUUGUAAAGUACUUUUGGCAGAGAAGCGGUAUCUGCAGAAUAAGCUCCGGCUAACUACGUGCCAGCAGCCGCGGUAAUUC